rnacentral:lncRNA from 1 species
UAACACUGAGACUGUGUUUCUCCAGAGGGCGCUGACUGACACUAAGUACGGUGGAUGUCUCAGUCUACAGGAAGCCGAGAAGGUGCCCGCUGACGAGUGUGACCAUCAGACAUUCCUUCAAGAGCCUCCUUAGAAGGCAAAUUUGAGAGAGGAAGGAUUGUAUUCCUUUCUUCUAUCUUCAAAGCUCUGGUCUCGGACCUGGAGAGUUGAGACUGGGAUCUCCACCACUGGCUCUGCAUAUUUGUUACAAGCAGAAUACGUUUAAAUACCAUACCAAGCCCCACAGCUAAGAACACUGCUGACAAGAUUCCAACCCCGCCACCUGAGCUGAAGGACUGUGUCCCGUGCACAUCCCCUGGCUACGCCCUGGCGUGUUCCUCAGCUCUCUGCAUAGUCACUCUGACUCACCAACGCUCCCUGAAGGUCCUGCUGAGUCACCUCUCUUUUCUAACUCACCUUCUCUUCUGUUUUUGGACAUUUUUCUGGGUAUCUGUACUAACUAUCAUCCACUUCGGUGCUACAUGUGUAAACUUUGAACUGACAUUAUUAGUAGUAAAAAAUGUGCUAUUUUCUUUAAAAUUUAUUUUGCAUUGAACUAUAUGAUGCCACCCAUUCUUA